GUAGGGAAUCUUCCGCAAUGGGCGCAAGCCUGACGGAGCAACGCCGCGUGAGUGAUGAAGGUUUUCGGAUCGUAAAGCUCUGUUGCCAAGGAAGAACGCCUCGGAGAGUAACUGCUCUGAGGGUGACGGUACUUGAGAAGAAAGCCCCGGCUAACUACGUGCCAGCAGCCGCGGUAAUACGUAGGGGGCAAGCGUUGUCCGGAAUUAUUGGGCGUAAAGCGCGCGCAGGCGGUCUUUUAAGUUUGGUGUUUAAGCCCGGGGCUCAACCCCGGUUCGCACUGAAAACUGGGAGACUUGAGUGCAGGAGAGGAAAGCGGAAUUCCACGUGUAGCGGUGAAAUGCGUAGAGAUGUGGAGGAACACCAGUGGCGAAGGCGGCUUUCUGGACUGUAACUGACGCUGAGGCGCGAAAGCGUGGGGAGCAAACAGGAUUAGAUACCCUGGUAGUCC
rnacentral:rRNA from 1 species